AGUUCGAAGUAUUCUGUAACUUGGAUCAAACGCUAAAACCCUAGACAAGAACCAACGGAAAUUCCCUUCCCUUUUCAAUUUCAACCCAAAAUUUAGGUAAAUAGAAAAAACAGAGCACAAAUGGAAGGUGGGGUGGGUCGUAAUGGCAAAGAGAGAGAAGAGGAACAAGACGGCAUGUCCGUACAUUCCCCAUGCAAAGCUCCUCCUUCCUCUGCUUCCUCUCUUCCCAAGGAGCAAUCACAGGUGGAAUUAGAGCUAAGACUCUUAGAAGCUUUGGAGAUCUACCCUCCUGUCAAACUAAGAGGCAUGCAUCGCCACUUUGUACUUUAUGGUCUCAUGGAAUUUCUUCGGAGAAGCUUUGAUCGGCAAUUUUCUCCAGAUGAGGUUUUGCAGUUGCUGGACCGAUUCUACAACAUUGAAAUGCUGUUUCAGAAACCAGAUGAUGAAGAGGCAGAAAUUCUGAAUCACGAGGAAGAUUUUUCCUUGCCUCAAAGUUAUUUUGUCAAGGAAGAGUGAAAUUGAUAAUUUUGAACCACAUCUUUUUUGGACUCCUUGCACAACAAUCCUAGCUGGGAGCAUUUUUCUUGAUCAUAUUUUAAAUCCAAAACUGGCGCAAACUUGAUAGGAGUCAGUGUUGCUUAGAAUCUCUGAAGGCCAUUAUAUUCUGUUUUUUGAAGACGGCAGAGACAAGGUUGUGUGAGGGUCAAACAAUAACGAGGACAAGUGCGUUAGGAAUAUAGGAUGCAUUUUCUUGUCUAUUGAUUUCUAGUUUCAGUCAAUGUAUUCUGCUCGUCCCAAAAGAGGAGAUUCAUGUGGAGUAAGAAGCUCAAGAAUUUGGUAAUUUCCUGGCGUGGUCAGGCGCCGUCCAUGCAUUAAAAUAACUGCCAAAUUAUAAUAGAAAUGGGUUAGUACAUUUUUACA